GGUACUGCGGAGGGAUCAUUACACAAAUAUGAAGGCGGGCUGGAACCUCUCGGGGUUACAGCCUUGCUGAAUUAUUCACCCUUGUCUUUUGCGUACUUCUUGUUUCCUUGGUGGGUUCGCCCACCACUAGGACAAACAUAAACCUUUUGUAAUUGCAAUCAGCGUCAGUAACAAAUUAAUAAUUACAACUUUCAACAACGGAUCUCUUGGUUCUGGCAUCGAUGAAGAACGCAGCGAAAUGCGAUAAGUAGUGUGAAUUGCAGAAUUCAGUGAAUCAUCGAAUCUUUGAACGCACAUUGCGCCCUUUGGUAUUCCAAAGGGCAUGCCUGUUCGAGCGUCAUUUGUACCCUCAAGCUUUGCUUGGUGUUGGGCGUCUUGUCUCUAGCUUUGCUGGAGACUCGCCUUAAAGUAAUUGGCAGCCGGCCUACUGGUUUCGGAGCGCAGCACAAGUCGCACUCUCUAUCAGCAAAGGUCUAGCAUCCAUUAAGCCUUUUUUUCAACUUUUGACCUCGGAUCAGGUAGGGAUACCCGCUGAACUUAAGCAUAUCAUAGGCGGGAAGGAA
rnacentral:rRNA from 1 species